UACAGAGGUCUCAAGCGUUGUUCGGAUUCACUGGGCGUAAAGGGUGCGUAGGUGGUUGGGUAAGUCUGAUGUGAAAUCUCCGGGCUCAACCCGGAAAUGGCAUUGGAUACUAUUCGGCUAGAGGUUUGGAGGGGGGACUGGAAUUCUCGGUGUAGCAGUGAAAUGCGUAGAGAUCAUGAGGAAGACCAGUGGCGAAGGCGGGUCUCUGGACAGUUCCUGACACUGAGGCACGAAGGCCAGGGGAGCAAACGGG
rnacentral:rRNA from 1 species